AUCUCUAUCUGGGGAUCCUUCCUUUUGGAGCCCUUCUGCAAGCCCAGGACACGGACCCGUAUAUAUCCCUCAAGAUCACAAACUCCACCAAGGCAUGAUCAUUGCAUCCCUCAAGAUCACAGACUCCACCAAGGCAUGAUCAUUGCAUUGAACUAACUCCAAUUAGUUCAUCUGCAUUGAAAAUAUCCAGGUGAUUGAGUCCCCCAACAGGAUGAGAGCCCGUGAGCAUUUUUUCUUGUAGCUGGAUCAAGAAGGCUUCAUCAACAGGUCCCUCUCGAUUGGGCAGCUCGUGCUAAACACCAAUCACAACUUCUGCUACUGUCUAAGAGAUUUCUACAAGGAAAAAGUUUCAAGAUGAUAAAGAAAGGAAAAGAAGAUCUUACUGACCCAGCCAGAAAAUCGGUCCCCUUUAGAUGCUGAAAGGCUGCUCUCAGGUCUCUCUGGAGCCUCCUCUUCUCGAGACAGAACUGCCCUAGCUCUCAGCCUGUUCUUGUAGGAGAGAUGUUCCAUCCCAUGGAUCAUUUUGUGGCCCUACUCUGGACAUGCUCCAACAUGUCCAUGUCUCUCCUGUACUGAGGACUCCACAUCUGGAUGCAGUAUUCCAGGAAACACUGAGAGGCCAGAAGGAAGACUCUGAGCUCUGGAGUAUUGAUGUGCAGACUCUUUCCCGUCUGUGACCCUGAACUACAUGACUGCUGAGAUGUGCCCUGCUCCUUCUGGAAGUAUCUGACAUGGAAAUGGCAGCAGCUGCUGCUUCCAUUUCAUCAGAAGUUAGAUCUGAGAACAGUAAUUUGUGGAGGCUUUUUCUCUAGUUUUUUUUCUUUAGUUAAAGAGCCUCAUGAUUCUGUCACACCACCUGACUGUGGGCUUAAUAAUGGGCCAAUGAUGCUGCAAAGCUGUCAAAUCUAGAACAGGCCUUGGAACAUCACUUCUCUUCAACCCUCACGCUGGGAAUCUGCACCACUGGUUAGUAUCUGUGUGGUGUAUUUGGACCUUGUUCAUAAACUAUACACCACGUACAGGUACUGUGCACUAUAGGAAGUAAUUUAGCGCACAGUAGGGAAAACAAAUGCAAAUACUAGACUAAAAUUCCUGAAGAAAGUAUUGGCCAUUUGUUCUACACCCCAUUGAAACCCCAGAAGCAUCACGAGUAUCUCCACUUUUGCAGCCUCAGCAGUACUCCUGUUUGGCAUCAUCCCUUUGGCAUCUGGUCAGCUUCCAUGCAGCAGGGUUGGCCAAAAUGGAGGUCUCUCUGGAAAUACCACUCUCCCUUAUUUAGGGCACUAUGACUUUGUAAAAAAAGGUUUUACAUUAAGAAAAAAAAAAAAUAGUCACCGUAGAGUUGCUGUUGUGAACAGAGAACAGAGAAGAAUGAAACUGAGAGUCCAUUGCAUGGCUGUUAGAUCAGAGUGCCUUGCAUCUGUGGCUCUUUCAGAUCACAUUACUCUUAUAGGCUCGCUGAAACAUUUUUAAAUGAAUUUCCAGUAUACAAAUGCCGUCUCCUUACCACUCAGAAAGAUCGGAAAAAGUAAAAAAGAAAUUUGACAUCCUUUUGUUUUUCAGAGGUAAAAAUUCCUCUCUUUCAUUACAGUAUAAAAGAUACAAGGAUAUAACAAUGUGGCAUUAUACUGAGGCACACAUGAUGAUAAAAUAUGGCUUGAAAAAGGAACAUGCAUUGAAUAUUUCUGUAUGAGUACAGAAGAAACUAGGGUGUUUGUAUCCUUUCCCUGAUACAAAGACCUCUGCUGAGGCUUGGUCUCAUUCCCUUUACUGUAAAUUACUCACAUCUUUUUGCUGUAUCUCUUGCUCGGGAAAAACUAAGCAGGAGGCUUGCUUUGGUGUAUGUUCCAGUGAAAGCUGCUGGAAAACUACAGCAAUUCUCUGCAAUUAUUUGGGUAAAACUCUUGGAUAAAGAUACAGUCAGACACUGAAGAGCAUCAGAACCAUGG
ensembl:lncRNA